AGAGUUUGAUCAUGGCUCAGAAUCAACGCUGGCGGCGCGCUUAACACAUGCAAGUCGAACGAGAAAGUGGAGCAAUCCAUGAGUAAAGUGGCGUACGGGUGAGUAACACGUGGGUAAUCUACCUCUGGGUGGGGAAUAACGCUGGGAAACCGGCGCUAAUACCGCAUAAGCUCGAGAGAGGAAAGGCGAAAGUCGCCGGGAGAGGAGCCCGCGGCCGAUUAGCUAGUUGGUAGGGUAAAGGCCUACCAAGGCAACGAUCGGUAGCCGGCCUGAGAGGGCACACGGCCACACUGGCACUGAAACACGGGCCAGACUCCUACGGGAGGCAGCAGUGGGGAAUCUUGCACAAUGGGGGAAACCCUGAUGCAGCGACGCCGCGUGAGCGAUGAAGCCCUUCGGGGUGUAAAGCUCUUUCGGCUGGAACGAUAAUGACGGUACCAGCAGAAGAAGCUGCGGCUAACUACGUGCCAGCAGCCGCGGUAAUACGUAGGCAGCGAGCGUUGUUCGGAGUUACUGGGCGUAAAGAGUGCGUAGGCGGUGCGGCAAGUCUGGUGUGAAAUCUCCCGGCUUAACUGGGAGGGUGCGCUAGAAACUGCCGUGCUAGAGUGUGGGAGAGGUAAGCGGAAUUCCUGGUGUAGCGGUGAAAUGCGUAGAUAUCAGGAGGAACACCUGCGGUGUAGACAGCUUACUGGACCAUAACUGACGCUGAGGCACGAAAGCGUGGGUAGCAAACAGGAUUAGAUACCCUGGUAGUCCACGCCCUAAACGAUGCGUACUUGGUGUGGGUGAUUCAUUUCAUCCGUGCCGGAGCUAACGCGUUAAGUAUGCCGC
rnacentral:rRNA from 1 species